rnacentral:rRNA from 1 species
UACGAAGGGGGCUAGCGUUGCUCGGAAUUACUGGGCGUAAAGGGCGCGUAGGCGGAUACUUAAGUCAGUGGUGAAAGCCCUUCGCUUAACGAAGGAACUGCCAUUGAUACUGCAAAUCUUGAGUACAUUUGAUGAGGGCGGAAUGUGUCAUGUAGCGGUGAAAUGCUUAGAUAUGACACAGAACACCGAUUGCGAAGGCAGCUCUCAAAACUGUAACUGACGCUGAGGCACGAAAGCGUGGGUAUCAAACAGG